rnacentral:rRNA from 1 species
GGGAACGUGCCCUUCGGUUCGGAAUAACUCAGGGAAACUUGAGCUAAUACCGGAUACGCCCUUAUGGGGAAAGGUUUACUGCCGAAGGAUCGGCCCGCGUCUGAUUAGCUAGUUGGUGAGGUUACGGCUCGCCAAGGCGACGAUCAGUAGCUGGUCUGAGAGGAUGAUCAGCCACACUGGGACUGAGACACGGCCCAGACUCCUACGGGAGGCAGCAGUGGGGAAUAUUGGACAAUGGGGGCAACCCUGAUCCAGCCAUGCCGCGUGAGUGAUGACGGCCUUAGGGUUGUAAAGCUCUUUUCUCCGGGACGAUAAUGACGGUACCGGAGGAAUAAGCCCCGGCUAACUUCGUGCCAGCAGCCGCGGUAAUACGAAGGGGGCUAGCGUUGCUCGGAAUCACUGGGCGUAAAGGGCGCGUAGGCGGCUGAUUUAGUCGAGGGUGAAAGCCCGUGGCUCAACCACGGAAUGGCCUUCGAUACUGGUUGGCUUGAGACCGGAAGAGGACAGCGGAACUGCGAGU